UACGAAGGGGGCUAGCGUUGCUCGGAAUUACUGGGCGUAAAGGGCGCGUAGGCGGCCUUCUAAGUCGAACGUGAAAUCCCCGGGCUCAACCCGGGAACUGCGUCCGAUACUGGGAGGCUUGAAUCCGGGAGAGGGAUGUGGAAUUCCAGGUGUAGCGGUGAAAUGCGUAGAUAUCUGGAGGAACACCGGUGGCGAAGGCGGCAUCCUGGACCGGUAUUGACGCUGAGGCGCGAAAGCCAGGGGAGCGAACGGG
rnacentral:rRNA from 1 species